UACGUAGGGUGCAAGCGUUAAUCGGAUUUACUGGGCGUAAAGGGUGCGUAGGCGGAUUUUUAAGUCAGGGGUGAAAUCCCAAGGCUCAACCUUGGAACUGCCUUUGAUACUGGAGAUCUUGAGUCCGGGAGAGGUGAGUGGAACUGCGAGUGUAGAGGUGAAAUUCGUAGAUAUUCGCAAGAACACCAAUGGCGAAGGCAGCUCGCUGGGACGGUACUGACGCUGAGGCGCGAAAGCGUGGGGAGCAAACAGG
rnacentral:rRNA from 1 species